ensembl:lncRNA
AAAUAAAAAGAGGACAGAAAAAUAUGAAAAAAGAAAAAAGAAAAAAAGAAAAGAAAAAAAACAGUAGAUGAAAAAAGAAAAAACAAAAGGAAAAACGAAUAAUGACAAGAGAAGAAAGGUAAAGAGAAAAGAAGAAAAAGCCAAGUCAAAAAGUAAAGAAUAACUCGAAGGAAGGAGUGGAUGGCAAGAAAUACAGAGAAAGCAGUGCAUAGCACAGCAGAGCAAAGCAAGGCAAAAUAGCAGCCAAAGCCACGAGAAUCAAGAAGUCAGUGAAGAGCAGGAAAGGUAAGUUUCCCUUAAAGCAAGGGGGAAUGGUAGUGGAAGG